GAUGAACGCUGGCGGCGUGCCUAACACAUGCAAGUCGAGCGAAGCGAUCGAGAUGAAGUUUUCGGAUGGAUUCCUGAUUGACUGAGCGGCGGACGGGUGAGUAACGCGUGGGUAACCUGCCUCAUACAGGGGGAUAACAGUUAGAAAUGACUGCUAAUACCGCAUAAGCGCACAGUGCCACAUGGUACGGUGUGAAAAACUCCGGUGGUAUGAGAUGGACCCGCGUCUGAUUAGCUAGUUGGUGGGGUAACGGCCCACCAAGGCAACGAUCAGUAGCCGACCUGAGAGGGUGAUCGGCCACAUUGGGACUGAGACACGGCCCAAACUCCUACGGGAGGCAGCAGUGGGGAAUAUUGCACAAUGGGGGAAACCCUGAUGCAGCAACGCCGCGUGAGUGAAGAAGUAUUUCGGUAUGUAAAGCUCUAUCAGCAGGGAAGAAAAUGACGGUACCUGACUAAGAAGCCCCGGCUAACUACGUGCCAGCAGCCGCGGUAA
rnacentral:rRNA from 1 species